rnacentral:rRNA from 1 species
AUUGAACGCUGGCGGCAGGCUUAACACAUGCAAGUCGAACGAGUGGCGGACGGGUGAGUAAUGCUUGGGAAUCUACCUGAUGGAGGGGGAUAACUACGGGUAACUGUAGCUAAUACCGCGUACAAUAGGAUGGACCCAAGUGGGAUUAGGUAGUGGGUGAGGUAAAGGCUCACCAAGGCGACGCACGCUAGCUGGUCUGAGAGGAUGACCAUCCACACUGGGACUGAGACACGGCCCAGACUCCUACGGGAGGCAGCAUUGGGGAAGAUUGCGCAAUGGGGGCAACCUGACGCAGCCAUGCCGCGUUAAUGAAGAAGGCCUGCGGGUUGUAAAGUUCUUUCGGUAGCGAGGCGUUAACUACAGAAGAAGCACCGGCUAACUCCGUGCCAGCAGCCGCGGUAAUAC